ensembl:rRNA 5S_rRNA 5S ribosomal RNA
UGCCACAGCCAUAUCACCCUGCAACCCAAGACUGGUUGCCCACUGAAGCUAAGCAGGGUUUAGCCUGGUCAGUACCUGGAGACCUCCUGGGAAAACUAGGUUGCUGUUGGAA